UACGGAGGGUGCGAGCGUUGUCCGGAAUCACUGGGCGUAAAGGGCGCGCAGGCGGUUCGUUAAGUUCGAGGUGAAAUCUCCCGGCUCGACUGGGAGGGGUCUUCGGAUACUGGCGGACUUGAGGAGUGCAGAGGUGAGUGGAAUUCUCGGUGUAGUGGUGAAAUGCGUAGAUAUCGAGAGGAACACCAGUGGCGAAGGCGGCUCACUGGGCACCACCUGACGCUGAGGCGCGAAAGCGUGGGGAGCGAACCGG
rnacentral:rRNA from 1 species